UCGGAAUCACUGGGCGUAAAGGACGCGUAGGCGGGAAGCCAAGUCCGAUGUGAAAUCCUAUGGCUUAACCAUAGAACUGCAUUGGAAACUGGUUACCUAGAGUAUGGGAGGGGGAGAUGGAAUUAGUGGUGUAGGGGUAAAAUCCGUAGAUAUCACUAGGAAUACCCAAAGCGAAGGCGAUCUCCUGGAACAAUACUGACGCUAAGGCGUGAAAGCGUGGGGAGCAAACGGGAUUAGAUACCCCGGUAGUCCACGCCCUAAACGAUGUUCACUAGUCGUCGGAAUGCUAGUCAUUUCGGUGAUGCACUUAACAGAUUAAGUGAACCGCCUGGGGAGUACGGUCGCAAGA
rnacentral:rRNA from 1 species